AUUGAACGCUGGCGGCAUGCCUUACACAUGCAAGUCGAACGGCAGCAUGAUCUAGCUUGCUAGAUUGAUGGCGAGUGGCGAACGGGUGAGUAAUACAUCGGAACGUGCCCUGUAGUGGGGGAUAACUAGACGAAAGAUUAGCUAAUACCGCAUACGACCUGAGGGUGAAAGUGGGGGACCGCAAGGCCUCAUGCUAUAGGAACGGCCGAUGUCUGAUUAGCUAGUUGGUGAGGUAAAGGCUCACCAAGGCGACGAUCAGUAGCUGGUCUGAGAGGACGAUCAGCCACACUGGGACUGAGACACGGCCCAGACUCCUACGGGAGGCAGCAGUGGGGAAUUUUGGACAAUGGGCGAAAGCCUGAUCCAGCAAUGCCGCGUGUGUGAAGAAGGCCUUCGGGUUGUAAAGCACUUUUGUCCGGAAAGAAAUGGCUCUGGUUAAUACCUGGGGUCGAUGACGGUACCGGAAGAAUAAGGACCGGCUAACUACGUG
rnacentral:rRNA from 1 species